UGAGGAAUAUUGGUCAAUGGGCGAAAGCCUGAACCAGCCAUGCCGCGUGCGGGAAGAAGGCGCUACGCGUCGUAAACCGCUUUUGUCCGGGGGUAACCGUGGGGACGCGUCCCCACCUGCAAGUACCGGACGAAUAAGGGUCGGCUAACUCCGUGCCAGCAGCCGCGGUAAUACGGAGGACCCGAGCGUUAUCCGGAUUCAUUGGGUUUAAAGGGUGCGCAGGCGGCCUGGUCAGUCAGCGGUGAAAUGCCCGCGCUUCACGCGGGAGCUGCCGUUGAUACUGCCGGGCUCGAGUUUUAGCGAGGCGGGCGGAAUGCGCGGUGUAGCGGUGAAAUGCAUAGAUAUCGCGCAGAACGCCGAUUGGGGAGCCAGCUCGCCAGCUGACAACUGACGCUGAGGC
rnacentral:rRNA from 1 species